GAAGGUAUAGCUUAUAUAAAAGUGUCAGAUUCUUACUCUGUUGAAGUUUUUCAUAAACUACUUUCA
rnacentral:tRNA from 1 species